rnacentral:snRNA from 1 species
GUGAUCACUUUAGCAGCACAAAUAAUAAAACUGGAACAGUACUGAGAAAAUAAGCAUGGCCUCUGCACAGAAUGACAUGCAAACUCAUCAAACGUUCCAUAUUUGU